CGAGGACGAACGCUGGCGGCGUGCCUAACACAUGCAAGUCGAGCGAGGAGAUUCCUUCGGGAUGAUCCUAGCGGCGGACGGGUGAGUAACACGUGGGCAACCUGCCUCAUAGAGAGGAAUAGCCUUCCGAAAGGGAGAUUAAUACCUCAUAACAUUGCAGUUUCGCAUGGAACAGCAAUUAAAGGAGUAAUCCGCUAUGAGAUGGGCCCGCGGCGCAUUAGCUAGUUGGUGAGGUAACGGCUCACCAAGGCGACGAUGCGUAGCCGACCUGAGAGGGUGAUCGGCCACAUUGGGACUGAGACACGGCCCAGACUCCUACGGGAGGCAGCAGUGGGGAAUAUUGCACAAUGGGGGAAACCCUGAUGCCAGCAACGCCGCGUGAGUGAUGACGGCCUUCGGGUUGUAAAGCUCUGUCCUCAGGGACGAUAAUGACGGUACCUGAGGAGGAAGCCACGGCUAACUACGUGCCAGCCGCGGC
rnacentral:rRNA from 1 species